rnacentral:lncRNA from 1 species
GCGGUAAAUUCAGCAUCCUAUCCUUCUUUUACACUAGCUUCUUAGUACAAGAAUAAUGACAAUACCCCAAAUAAUCUAAAAUAAACUAUGUCUAAACAUGAUGGCAACUAGCAAGUUAUUCCAUCUAAUUUAUUUUGCUUCGAAUAUUUCCUAACAAAAAACCUCAGAAAUAUUAAUUUUUCAUUAGCUCCCUUGAUCUUCUUUUCCCAAUUUGAACAAAAAAAAAAAUCGAAGAAUAAGAUAAUUUGUUGUUACCAUUCCUCAUUGAGAAUUAUAUCCUAGAAGUAACAAACGGUAUCCAUCGGAGGCUUACUAAGGUUGUAUGACUAAUUAAUUAUGUGACACCUGCAAUAAUUGUUUCAGUGGGAGGACCUAUUCAACGCCUUCCUAACGGAGGCAAAGUGGCAUUACAACGGCUACAAACCAGCCCUCGAGGAGUAUCUAAACAAUGCUCGGAUGUCAGUGUCAGGCUGCGUCCUAUUAGUCCAUGCUAGCCUCUUAUCAACGCAGAGACUAACCAAGGAGGCAUUGCAGUGCUUGAAGACCUAUCCAAGCCUCUUCCUGUCCUCAUCCGAGAUCUUUCGUCUUUGCAAUGAUUUAGCCACUUCUUCGG